rfam:Bacillus azotoformans LMG 9581 contig47, whole genome shotgun sequence.
UGGAAAAAGUAGAGGCACCCGCUUCUCACCUGAUUGACGCACUUAAGACGUUGUUGACAGGUUAUACGCAAUCUUAAAUAAUGAAGAUCGUGAAACGUGGGUGUAGUAUGUAUGCCGACGUUUUUUUUUCGUA